rnacentral:rRNA from 1 species
ACCAGACUCCUACGGGAGGCAGCAGUGGGGGAUAUUGCACAAUGGGGGGAACCCUGAUGCAGCGACGCCGCGUGGGUGAAGAAGUAUUUCGGUAUGUAAAGCCCUAUCGGCAGGGAAGAAAUUGGACGGUACCUGACUAAGAAGCCCUGGCUAACUACGUGCCAGCAGCCGCGGUAAUACGUAGGGGGCAAGCGUUAUCCGGAUUCACUGGGUGUAAAGGGAGCGUAGACGGCCAUGCAAGCCUGGAGUGAAAGCCCGGGGCCCAACCCCGGGACUGCUCUGGGAACUGUGCGGCUGGAGUGCGGGAGGGGCAGGCGGAAUUCCUGGUGUAGCGGUGAAAUGCGUAGAUAUCAGGAGGAACACCGGCGGCGAAGGCGGCCUGCUGGACCGCGACUGACGUUGAGGCUCGAAAGCGUGGGGAGCAAACAGGAUUAGAUACCCUUGUA